AUGUACAUUCCUACAAUGUUAAUGCACUGUAUGCCAUUAGAACUCCCUAUUUAAGAAUGGUUGGACUAGAGUAGUACUAGGAUGAGUGACCUCAUGGGAAUUCCUAGUAUUUUACAUA
rfam:Picea glauca, whole genome shotgun sequence.